AUCCGGCUGACGAGUCCCAAAUAAAACGAAACGCGCGUGUUGGAC
rnacentral:hammerhead_ribozyme from 1 species